ACGACUCUCGGCAACGGAUAUCUUGGCUCUCGCAUCGAUGAAGAACGUAGCGAAAUGCGAUACUUGGUGUGAAUUGCAGAAUCCCGUGAACCAUCGAGUCUUUGAACGCAAGUUGCGCCCGAGGCUAUCCGGCCGAGGGCACGCCUGCCUGGGCGUCACGCCUAGCGUCGCUC
rnacentral:rRNA from 2 species